UCCAAUAGUUCAUCAUGGUGGGGAGGUUCAAAAAGGUUUAUCAGCUAACAGCACACUCUGGUAGCCUCAGUCAAGCUGUCAGGGCUUCAAAUACGGGCCUGACACCAAAUCAUGCCUUCUAUUGAAGAACCAGCCUACGUACAAGUUGGUAUACACCACUCAGAGAACUGAACCAAAGCCACGUUGACAUCAUUUCUGUAAAUGAAACUAGAAGGCAAAUAGAUCUAGAGAAGGACAAUUUACACAUUUCUCCUCAGAGAAGCAAAUAAACGAUUUGGGAAAUAAGAGACAUCAUUUUGUAACACUGAAUCAGGAAGGACUAUGUUUGAAUCCUGCCCCAGACACUUUAUACCAAGAUACUGUCUGCCAUUAUCUACUGAUGAUCCCCACUGAUGGAUGUGCAAAAGCUGGACUGGAAAAAAAAAAAAGCUGGACUACAGGCUGAAGGCUUAUACGGAGGAAAUCAUUUUUACAAUAUAACAUAUUACACAAAAGGCCGAAAAGAUGUUAAGGAUAGAGGAUCUGAUGAGGAGUCCAGAAGAUCUACCUGGGUUCAUGGCCUGGCUCUGGCAUGAAUGGGCUGUGUGACCCUGGGUUUGCAAAGUACUUUAUGAAUAACUUGUUUGAUCUUCACCCCGCAAAGCUGAGACAGAUUAAGUGAAUCGCCAAGAGUCAUAUGUCUACAUCCAUAGCACUCGCUCCAGUAUAUAUCCAUCAACCAAAAUCCCUGGAGAAUGUUAACCUUUCCAGACAGCAAACUGAAUAAGAAUCAAGAUAUAAAAAAUUCCAGCCAUGAACAAAUUUUGACGCCUUUGCUCUUUGUAUGAGCUCAUGACCACCAGUGUUGGGCCAAGUUUCUCAGAAACCCAACCCAGGCCAUGAAGAACCCAGGCUCCUAUUUUUCUGGGGAAAAAAAGAAGGUCCAAAGUCAGCCAUGGGGAUGAGUCAGAUUCUGUCCCUACUUCCUUUCUCCUUCCAUUUCCCCUUCCACCAAUUACCAUGCUGAAAAAAAAAAAAAGAAAAAAAAAAGACCAUGGACCUCGGAAUCAAAAACACUAGAUAACAUCUUGCUUCCCCCCAAAUCACCACCCUGGAGCCCCUGAAAAACCUAGGAUUACUGGCCCACCACACCUCAGACAUAAGACUUUUCUUGCACAAAAAGGGCAGCUAGAAAGCCAGGUGUGGAGCUGAUCUGGACCGAAACCUGGAGCCCAGGGCAUCCCUCUCACCUCCAGCCCAGUAAAGAGAAUCCUCCAAUUAGCCUCAUUUGCCUUGUGUCUGGUGUCAAUUUUCCCCCUCCAGAGUGUGGGUGCCACUUUAGCUUCUGUCAUCAAAGUAAGAGUUAAAAUGAGUUUGAAAAACUGGUCAGGCCUCAAUUUUAAAUUCCUAGAACUCACACAAAUAGCCUUCUUGGAACUGCUGCAAUGAGUUGCCCUAAUUAACCCUGGUUGAUUGAGGGAGUUUCCCUACACCCAUGAAAUCACAGGUCUGGGCCUAAAACAAAACAAACAAAAAACCCCUACCACUUAUAUACAAGCUAUCACUGUUAUUCUAGCUUCCCUAGUACAGGGUGUCAGUCAUACAGGUUGACAAAUGUUAAAUAACUCAGGGGAUAUUCAGAAAGAAUUUUUUUUAAACACAGAAGUAUAUAUUAUAAAGGAAAAAGUGUUGAGUCUAAGGAAAAGAAGGAGUAGCCUGAGGAAAUGUUGGGGGAUGCCAGUGAUAAGACGAAAAGCAGUUGCUAAACUCCAGUUCAAAUAAGUUGAGCCUGUAAAAUUCCCAGAGUCCUUCCUGGGAUGGAGGAGGGAAGCUAACCUCAAUCAUGCUGUGUCUCAAAGCUAUGAAGGAGAAAUUGU